UACGGGGGGGGCAAGCGUUGUUCGGAAUUACUGGGCGUAAAGGGCUCGUAGGCGGCCAACUAAGUCAGACGUGAAAUCCCCAGGCUCAACCUGGGAACUGCGUCUGAUACUGGAUGGCUUGAAUCCAGGAGAGGUGAGUGGAAUUCCGAGUGUAGAGGUGAAAUUCGUAGAUAUUCGGAAGAACACCAGUGGCGAAGGCGGCUCACUGGACUGGUAUUGACGCUGAGGUGCGAAAGCGUGGGGAGCAAACAGG
rnacentral:rRNA from 1 species